UACAGAGGUCUCAAGCGUUGUUCGGAUUCAUUGGGCGUAAAGGGUGCGUAGGCGGCGCGGUAAGUCGGGUGUGAAAUCUCGGAGCUUAACUUCGAAACUGCAUUCGAUACUGCCGUGCUUGAGGACUGGAGAGGAGACUGGAAUUUACGGUGUAGCAGUGAAAUGCGUAGAUAUCGUAAGGAAGACCAGUGGCGAAGGCGGGUCUCUGGACAGUUCCUGACGCUGAGGCACGAAGGCCAGGGGAGCAAACGGG
rnacentral:rRNA from 1 species